GACGAACGCUGGCGGCGUGCCUAAUACAUGCAAGUAGGACGCAGUUGCGAACGGGUGAGUAACGCGUAGGUAACUACCUAUUAGCGGGGGAUAACUAUUGGAAACGAUAGCCAAUACCGCAUACUAGUAGAUGGACCUGCGUUGUAUUAGCUAGUAGGUAGGGUAAUGGCCUACCUAGGCAACGAUACAAAGGCAAACUGCGCGGGUGAUCGGCCAAACUGGUGCAUAGACCCGGCCCAGACUCCUUCGGGAGGCAGCAGUAGGGAAUCUGCGGAAAUGGGGGGAACCCUGACCGGGCAACGGCGCGGGAGUGAAUAAGGUUUUCGGAUCGUAAAGCUCUGUUGUUAAGGAAGCGGUACUUGACCAGAAAGGGACGGCUAACUACGUGCCAGCAGCCGCGGUAAUAC
rnacentral:rRNA from 1 species